GGCGAGGUAGCUCAGUCGGUAGAGCAGUGGACUGAAAAUCCUCGUGUCCUCAGUUCGAUUCUGAGCCUCGCCA
rnacentral:tRNA from 1 species